rnacentral:rRNA from 1 species
CCCUUUGAUACUCUGGGCGGCACGCGCGCUACACUGGUUUAUAUAACGUGUAAUUUGGACGAUAGUCUGUAUAAAUCACUAAUAUAAAACCGUGAAUGGGAUAGUUUAUUGCAACUUACAAACUUUAACUAGGAAUCCCCUGUAGAAGUAGUGAAUUAUACUGCUUCGAAUACGUCCCUGCCGAUUGUACACACCGCCCGUCGUUUCUUCCGACUGGUACUCAUUGUGAAUUGCGAGGAGAUUCUGUCAAAUCGUUGUAAAUGCUGGGUAUUGGAGGAAGAAAAAGUCGUAACA